CUUAAGUUGCCCGUUUUCAGAGGUGAAAACUCAGGCUCAUAGAUGGAACACAGAAUCACCAUGGCUUAGGAGGGAAACACUUGUCUGGGAGCAAAGAAACCUGGAUCCUGUUCCUGGUUCUGUCCUCAGUGCCCAGGCUUUGUCCUCUCACGUUCCCUUAUCUGCAAGAGUUGCUAACCAGAUGGAUCCAUACGCCCAGCAGUUCAAACACCGGACGACCCCAGCAAGCCUGCUGUGCUCCUCCUGAGGAGGCCAGGAGGCUACUUGCAAGCUGUCAUCAGUCAGGGGACCAGAUGGAAAGAUGAGGUAAGACUCUCC
rnacentral:lncRNA from 1 species